rnacentral:rRNA from 1 species
UGGGGAAUUUUGCACAAUGGGGGAAACCCUGAUGCAGCGACGCCGCGUGAUUUAGAAGGCCUUCGGGUUGUAAAAAUCUUUUCUAUGGGAAGAAAAUGACAGUACCAUAGGAAUAAAGACCGGCUAAUUACGUGCCAGCAGCCGCGGUAAUACGUAAGGUCCGAGCGUUGUCCGGAAUCAUUGGGCGUAAAGGGUACGUAGGCGGGUAAGCAAGUUAGAAGUGAAAUCCUAUAGCUCAACUAUAGUAAGCUUUUAAAACUGCUCAUCUUGAGGUAUGGAAGGGAAAGUGGAAUUCCUAGUGUAGCGGUGAAAUGCGCAGAUAUUAGGAGGAAUACCGGAGGCGAAGGCGACUUUCUGGCCAUAACCUGACGCUGAGGUACGAAAGCGUGGGUAGCAAACAGG